rnacentral:lncRNA from 1 species
AUCAGGAAUAUCAGGGAAAAUGCUUUUGAUGUUGUUGGCAAAGUCAAUUCCUAUCAUUUGUACUUGACACCAGCUACCUAGCAGGCUCAUUGUGAACUUCAGGUUUCGCCCACGUUAUUUAUAUAAAGUAUCUCAGUGUAAUAUAGGGAGUUGCUGGUUAUUUGAAAAUAGUAACAAAGAUAACCCAAACGAGAAACUCCAUUUCCAUAAUUAGUUUUCCUGAAAGUCAGGCA